ensembl:snRNA U6 U6 spliceosomal RNA
UUGGCAGCACAUAUACUAAAUAGACUAAAAUUGGGACAAUACAGAGAACAUUAGCAUGGCCCUGUGUGAGGAUGACACAGAAAUUCAUGAAGCAUUCCAUGUUGAG